rnacentral:rRNA from 1 species
GACGAACGCUGGCGGCGUGCCUAAUACAUGCAAGUCGAACGCAGUGGGGACGGGUGAGUAACACGUGGGUAACCUCCCAUCAGAGGGGAUAACCCUUGGAAACAGGUGCUAAACCGAUACUGAUGGAUGGGCCCGCGGUGCAUUAGCUAGUUGGUGAGGUAACGGCUCACCAAGGCCACGAUGCAUAGCCGACCUGGGAGGGUGAGCGGCAACACUGGAACUGAGACACGGCCCAGACGCCUACGGGAGGCAGCAGUAGGGAAUCUUGGGCAAUGGGCGCAAGUCUGACCGAGCAAUGCCGCGUGUGUGAAGAAGGUUUUCGGAUCGUAAAGCUCUGUUGGUAGAGAAGCGGUAUCUAACCAGAAAGCCACGGCUAACUCCGUGCCAGCAGCCGCGGUAAUAC